rnacentral:rRNA from 1 species
CGGGUGCGUAACACGUGAGCAACCUGCCCCGAAGACCGGGACAACCCGAGGAAACUCGGACUAAUACCGGAUGUCCUCACCGGAUCGCAUGGUCUGGUGAGGAAAUGGAUUCCGCUUCGGGAUGGGCUCGCGGUCUAUCAGCUUGUUGGUGGGGUAACGGCCUACCAAGGCGACGACGGAUAGCUGGUCUGAGAGGACGAUCAGCCACACUGGGACUGAGACACGGCCCAG